rnacentral:rRNA from 1 species
AGUGAACGCUGGCGGCGUGCUUAACACAUGCAAGUCGAACGAGAACGGGCUAUAGCUUGCUAUAGUUGUCAGCUAAGUGGCGCACGGGUGAGUAAUGUAUAGGUAAUAUGCCUCUUACUAAGGGAUAACAAAUGGAAACGUUUGCUAAUACCUUAUACUCCUUAUUAACAGAAGUUAAUAAGGGAAAGAUUUACUGGUAAGAGAUUAGCCUGUAUUGUAUCAGUUAGUUGGUGGGGUAAUGGCUUACCAAGACUAUGACACAUAACUGGUUUGAGAGGAUGAUCAGUCACACUGGAACUGAGACACGGUCCAGACUCCUACGGGAGGCAGCAGUGGGGAAUAUUGCACAAUGGACGAAAGUCUGAUGCAGCAACGCCGCGUGGAGGAUGACACAUUUCGGUGCGUAAACUCCUUUUAUAUGAGAAGAUAAUGACGGUAUUAUAUGAAUAAGCACCGGCUAGCUCCGUGCCAGCCGCCGCGGUAA